rnacentral:rRNA from 1 species
GACGAACGCUGGCGGCGUGCCUAAUACAUGCAAGUCGAGCGGAUCGAUGGAAGCUUGCUUCCUGAGAUCAGCGGCGGACGGGUGAGUAACACGUGGGCAACCUGCCCCUAAGAUCGGGAUAACUUCGGGAAACCGGAGCUAAUACCGGAUAGGACUUUUCUUCUCAUGAAGGGAAGUGAAAAGACGGUUUCGGCUGUCACUUAGGGAUGGGCCCGCGGCGCAUUAGCUAGUUGGUGAGGUAACGGCUCACCAAGGCGACGAUGCGUAGCGGACCUGAGAGGGGGAUCGGCCACACUGGGACUGAGACACGGCCCAGACUCCUACGGGAGGCAGCAGUAGGGAAUCUUCCGCAAUGGACGAAAGUCUGACGGAGCAACGCCGCGUGAGUGAAGAAGGUUUUCGGAUCGUAAAACUCUGUUGUCAGGGAAGAACAAGUACCAUAGUAACUGAUGGUACCUUGACGGUACCUGACCAGAAAGCCACGGCUAACUACGUGCCAGCCGCCGCAGUAACAC